UCUUCCUUUCCACCCGCGCCGCACAAGGAUGGAUAAGGUGAGCGCUCUGAGCUACGGAGCAGUGGAAAAAAGGCUUCCUCUUAUCUGGCGAGCGAGGUCGAGGCUGGCCGUGAUGCAGACGACGCCGGGCGCGGAGGCGGCUAUCUCCGGCCAGAUCCGGUCGAGGAGGGGCGGCAGGGGUCGGAUCCUGUUCCGGCGACGGCGUGGAUGCGAUCUACGAGGCGCAUGAGGAGGUCCAAUGGUGGGGCUUCAAUUCCAAGUUCAUCGCGGCGGCGUUCCUCGCCGGUACCGAGCGAGAUGGCUAGCUCCGGCGAAGUCUCUCCAUCGAUACGGUGGCUCUGUACCUGUGAGAGAGACAUAGGUGAGGGGAGAGGCAGGGAGGAGAGGGUGUGAGGAGCGGCAGGGAAGUCUUGGUGGUGCCCGCCUCCUACAGCAGCCCUGGUGAGUGCGGCCAAAGAGAGAGAGAUGAGAGAGAGCCAAGAGGAAGAAGGAAAGGAAGGAGACUUCAGGAAGGGGCGGCGGGAUCCUGCGGUGCUGGGUUCGAGCUCCGUUGGUGGUGCUACUGCUGCUGUUGGACAAUGGCCGAUGGGACUUGGUAAGAGGAAAACAUGGACUUGGUAAGUCCUUCUCCCUUCUCUGAUUAAUAUUGGGAUUCCGUUGCUAUUUGAUGGAGAGCAGCCACCAAAAAUUCCUCUCUUGAGCAACGCUCCCUCCCUCCCUCUCGAAUCUGAUUCAUCACAAGACUAUCAACAGACAACAUCCUACCUCCAGAAUGUUUGGGGCCCCUAGGUAUUUGACUGAAUAGCACGGGCUCGCGUGUGUAUGUCACCAUGACAAUACUGCACUUCAAGAUUUCAUAAGUUUAAUCUUUAGUUCUAACAUUAUCUUUUGUGCAGAUAAGGAUGGCAGUAGAAGAGCUUGACGACAAUGAAUGACAACCAUAUGGACAUUUUUUUAGUAGCCAAUGAAUAUAGGCCAGUGAGCCAUGGAUUUUGGUUUGCUCUUUUUCUCCUUUAUGUGAUGAGGCAAGGAACAUGCUAAAGGGGAUAUUGUCAAUGCUGCAUAAUUAUGUUGUAUGAUGUUUACAUAUUUUCGGACCUCAUCUCAGUAAAAUUCUGUAUUUAUUUUGGGGCCUAAUGGUGUUUAGUUCAUUUAACUUUUUCUAUUCAUAUACACGAAUAGCAGGAUUUCAGGCCAGUAGACUGUUAUACCAGCAGUUUCAUUUAACUUUUAUUCAUUAAUAGUGAGAGUAAGAUAUCCUGACAAUUUGUCCACUGGAAAAUCUUACGUACUAUUUGUUUCAUGUAGGUUCUGGAAUUGCUUGAGGUUGUACAGUUUAGAUGUCCAGACACUUCAAUGAAAUACUCUCAGUUGCUUUCAAAUCUGAGAGUUGGAUGGAAGCUUGAAGAGAUCCUAUAGAAUUCUGCAACAUCUGAAUUUGGUGGUGUAUAUUGUUUUUCGGAGAGAGGUGAUCGACAGAUUGAUCUGGAUGCGUUCCAUCAAAAUCUUAUCCAAGUUGCGUGCUAGUUGUAUCAAGAAGGAUGUCAUUGCUUGAGGAUCAUUCACAGUUAUUGUUUGAAGUCGACGACAAGUGCUAUCAUCAUGAGGCCAGACAAGUCGUUGUGCCAAUCCAAUGAGUUUCCAACAAUGGAAAGUCAUCCGAAGAAUCAUGUCCCGGUGAGUAGUCCAGCUCCAGCAACAAGACCACAUCUGAUUUCCACCAAGAAGCUGGACCAGCGGCAUUGUACUCAGGAGUACUAUUUUUCUUCUUUUUGGUCAGGAGUACUAUUUCUUCUUUUUCUUCAGUAGUUAAGGGCGUAUUUCAGAGGGGAGCAUACGUAUUACUGUGGUUCCCUUGAGUUUCGUGUGCUGCAUUACCGUUAUAAGUUACCAGCAGCAAAGAAAGAGAGUCACGUACUAAUACAUGAUAAGGACAAGUGCACUGAGGAAUAAGUAUGCAGAGAAGCUUUGAUUCAUCAUCAUCUACAUAUACUUAGAAUAUAACUCACAAGAAAAGCAAAAGAAAAAUGAUUGACAAUCUAUUCUAUGCAAAACAACUCUUCCAUCAGAUGAAGAAUGGCAUGUUGGCUUCUUCGCGUCCGAACUUGAAGGGGUUAUCUAUUGCUAUACAGUGAACGGAACUACCAGUUUGCAUUAAGAUGGACUCACUUUCAGCGAUGAAUAUUCUGAAUGGGAGGGACAUGGAGAGGUCUGUGUAUGCUUCUUUGGUGGCGGAGAUCAAGCAUUUGAAGUCUCUUUGUAUGGCCCGUAUUACUCAUAUCAGCUGUUGUCAAAAUGUAGUUAGUGAUAUUUUAGCAAGUUUCGCAAAAACUGAAAGGAGAACUAUAGUCUGGCUCGGCUCCGCCCCCUCGAGGUCGUUGAUUUGUGUAAGGACGAGUGCAAGGUUGCUGCUUGAGUAAUACAAGUUUAUACCUU